AUCAUGAACUCUAAUGUGUGUGACCUCAUAGGUCCGAACCUAAGCCGGUAGCACAGGAAUAAAUUUCUGUACCAAUCGAAGUGACCAUCUAGCAAUGGUACCCGACGAUCGGAUAGGUUGAAUGUGUAGAACAACAUCCUUAGAACCCAUGCGGAUAUAGUUUUUAUAUAAUUCAUCCCCUUGAUCAAAAUGAUCAUAGGAUACCCCAGAGUUCAACUGUCAACUCUGAUCAGGUUGUCCAUAUUGUAUUUCAAAAUAUCAAAUCCAUUUGAUGGAUUAUCCUGGCUAAGGUUUUGCUAAAUUGAAAUACAGCGACUCAUUCUUCUCCAACUCUUGGAGUGGUCAAUCCCAUCUCGAUCACACUCUGACUUCGCAAGUACUUGACUGUGCCCAGAAGCCUUCCAUCCCUGAAUUAGAAAUUCAGUUAGUCCAGUACCAAAACACAGUGAGUUGCUUGCAAGUCACUGAGGCGAUCUCAAGUCUAAGGGACACUUAUACCUAUAUCCCAUCAGAGACAUUCUCGACAGCAGAAUACUCUGGAGUUGGUCACAUUCAAUGAUGAUGUACUAGUACAUCUCACCUGUAUGCCAUACCAGUGUCUCCACACUCUUUGGUUAAGAGGAUAACCAACCCAUAUGGCCUAC
rnacentral:lncRNA from 1 species